rnacentral:rRNA from 1 species
GACGAACGCUGGCGGCGUGCUUAACACAUGCAAGUCGAACGGAAAGGCCUGCUUUCCCUUGUGGAUUGCGGGUACUCGAGUGGCGAACGGGUGAGUAACACGUGAGUGAUCUGCCCCCAACUUGGGUAUAAGCCUGGGAAACUGGGUCUAAUUCCCGAUAGGACUGCAGGGUGGUGCCUGUGGUGGAAAACGAUUUUCUAGUGGUUGGGGAUGAGCUCGCGGCCUAUCAGCUUGUUGGUGGGGUAAUGGCCUACCAAGGCGGCGACGGGUAGCCGGCCUGAGAGGGUGGACGGCCACAUUGGGACUGAGCUACGGCCCAGACUCCUACGGGAGGCAGCAGUGGGGAAUAUUGCACAAUGGGCGGAAGCCUGAUGCAGCGACGCCGCGUGGGGGAUGUCGGCCUUCGGGUUGUAAACUCCUUUCGACCGCGAGGAAGCCACCUGGUUGGAAGGGUGGUGACGGUAGUGGUAGAAGAAGCACCGGCUAACUACGUG